rnacentral:rRNA from 1 species
GACGAACGCUGGCGGCGUGCUUAACACAUGCAAGUCGAACGGAAAGGCCCUGCUUUUGUGGGGUGCUCGAGUGGCGAACGGGUGAGUAACACGUGAGUAACCUGCCCUUGACUUUGGGAUAACUUCAGGAAACUGGGGCUAAUACCGGAUCGGAGCUCCUGCUGCAUGGUGGGGGUUGGAAAUUUUCGGCGGUUGGGGAUGGACUCGCGGGUUAUCAGCUUGUUGGUGGGGUAGUGGCUUACCAAGGCUUUGACGGGUAGCCGGCCUGAGAGGGUGACCGGCCACAUUGGGACUGAGAUACGGCCCAGACUGCUACGGGAGGCAGCAGUGGGGAAUAUUGCACAAUGGGCGGAAGCCUGAUGCAGCAACGCCGCGUGCGGGAUGACGGCCUUCGGGUUGUAAACCGCUUUCGCCUGUGACGAAGCGUGAGUGACGGUAAUGGGUAAAGAAGCACCGGCUAACUACGUG